CUAAUCCUACGGGGGGCAGCAGUAGGGAAUCUUCCACAAUGGACGAAAGUCUGAUGGAGCAACGCCGCGUGAGUGAAGAAGGGUUUCGGCUCGUAAAGCUCUGUUGGUAGUGAAGAAAGAUAGAGGGAGUAACUGGCCUUUAUUUGACGGUAAUUACUUAGAAAGUCACGGCUAACUACGUGCCAGCAGCCGCGGUAAUACGUAGGUGGCAAGCGUUUUUCGGGUUUAUUGGGCGUAAAGCGGGUGCAGGCGGUUC
rnacentral:rRNA from 1 species